GCAUGUUUUACAGAGUCCUUGUGGCGCAUCAGUCACCACAACAGCAUCCCAUCCUUUCCUCUCCAAACCGCAUCAACUCAGACCUCACCACUCCACGUCAUAACCAAAAUCCAAUCUUUGAACACAAACCAAGGCCAUGAUUUUCGUGGGUUUUCCGGGAAAGCAAUUGGGUUUUUGUUUGAAAGGAAGUUAAGGGUUUUGUGAAUGCAAGAGAGGAUGGCGUUGACGAAGCUGAGGAGCAGAGCAGAGCAGAGGGGAGAGUACUAUCCCGGAGCGGUUUAGGUACUUGACCUAAGAAGCUCCUGACCAUCCUGUGAGGUGGCCUUUGUUUCUGGACAAUAGCAAGACUCGAGAAGUUUAAGAAGACCCUGUCUGUGAAGCCCACAGCCCCAGAUAGUGAAUCUGGAGAUGCUGAUGGUGAAGAUUUAUCUGAUUGGCAAAAAUCUCGGUUAAAAUUUGCUCCUGAGACUGGCAAGAUUAUCUCAGGAAAGAUCAUAGUGCAGGGAAGAUCAUCCAAGUCAACAAAGGUUGGGGAUAUCAAGAAAGCUUGUAAAAGACGGGUAAGAGGCAGAGAAGAUGGCUACUGAUGUCAAUUCAUAUUUUGCAGUCAUCAAUUGAUGCUUGAAACUUGCUUUAUCCUCUCUGACUUCUGCAAGAAAAACAGAGGCCAAUGUCAAUAGGCUCGAUAUGUUUUUAUACGUGAAAAAAUUCUAUGUAGUCUAUAAUUGAAAGAUGGGACAACAUUGCUUUUUGGUAACUAGCUGAGUGUUGAGAAGCACUAUCUAGUAUCAGAGAAACAUUAUCUUCCGCAUUUUUGCUGCAAAAAGGUGCUGGCCAUGACUAGCAAUUUAAUCAUAUGCUUUGACAUUUGUGAAAAGAAAAUUAGCAAUUCCUGUGGUUAUAAAGCAA